rnacentral:lncRNA from 10 species
AUGGGUUCAGGGAUGGGCACAUAACCCACACUGAGCCACCCAGAGUCCUCCCUUAUCUUUUUCUGUUGGAACUAGCAUUCCUUUGGUGUUGCUCAGCUGGGAAGACAUGAGUUGGGACUGCCAGACUGUCUUUCCAGCCCCAGAAAGGAGUCAUUCUGAGGAACAGUGCUAAGUAGGGAAAAGCAGAACCAUAAGAUGGCAAGAGAGACAGAGGCAAGAUAAUCUCACCUGAGCUCCUGGAUGGAGGCCUGCCAAGAACAGCUGUAUUAUUCCUGGACUUCUCAGUUAUGUAACCCAUCCUUGGAAGCUUCUGCCAGUCCAGCAUGACUUCACAUGGAGCAGUUACUGUGAUGAGAUUCCUGCUUAUCUCUACGUGGUCACCUGGGAGAUCCUUGUCUUCCUGACAAGAUUUUAGGGAGGACUAGACACCUUGAUGAAAUUGUGGAACCCCCGCAAGAGACCUAUCCAACCAUAUUUGCAAAUCCUGUCUGCAGUAGGAGUGGGAGGAGAAGAGAAUUGCCUGGGAAGAUUUCCAAGAUGCUUCCAAUUGAAAUCUGAAGGCCAUGAGACAGACUUUCAUGCCGGGCUUCACCCUCUGCCUGCCUCUGCAGCUUACGCACUGCUUGGAUUUGUGUAGUCAUUUAUUCAGCACUCACCAGAACCUACUAUGUGCUGGGCAUUGGGCUAGAUGCUGAGCUUACAGAGAUGCCUAGCUCAUAGCUUAAAGGAACAGUUCAACGAGCAGGAGGGCCAUAUUAAUACCCUGAAGCAAAUGCUGUGGCUGAGGUCGCAGGAGCACAAGAGGAGGGACCCUUGACCCAGACUGGGAGUACUGAGGAUAACCUCCUGGCCAAGGCAAAAAUGGAAGGAACUUUGAAAGUGAAUUUGUGUUUGGAUCUUGACAUUUUCCUUACAACUACAGGUCUUCGGGAGAAGUAUUUAACCUCUCUGAGCUUGGAUGGUCUUAUUUGUAUAAUGGUAGUAAUAGUAUGUACAGUAUGGACUUAAUGAGAUAAUGAAAUAAGUGUUUAUCAGACACAUAGCUAAUAUUUGUUGAAUUCUCACUAAGUGGCAGGCAUUGUUCUUUGCAUUUUAGGCCAUUUAGCCGUAACAACUCUGUGAUAUAAGAACUAUUAUUAUCAUAGUUUUAUAGCUGAGAGAGCUGAGGCACUGUCUGAUCUUGGACUAACCAACCAGAGACAGAUCCUGAGACAAGAUCUCAAGUGGAAAUAAUUUCUGGAGAGGUGCAAAGAGCAUGGGUAACAUCAAGAAAAGGGAAGCCAGCCAAUAACCGCAUGAUUAAGUCAGCUACUACAGUGGGUAACUAGUGCUUAAUCUUUCAGGGAAACUGUGAAAAACAGUGCAAAACACGUGCCUUGGAACUAUCCCAGUCAAGAGGCAAGGGAGUUGGGGCAUUUAUACCCUCAUUAUCUGUCGGUCGUUGGUUCAAAGCUGCCCCCAGAAGACUGGGCCUGCACAUUGACAAAGAGCACAUUGACAAAGUGGGUUCUGGAAGCCCAAGCACAGCCCUGCAACAAAGAUGCAGGUGCUGGCCAUAGAAAGUGGGGCUGGAUCAGAGGCAAGUACUGAAGGGAUCUGAAGGGAUAGAUGCCACGAACUCAGAAUGUCUGCUCUAAAUCCCAGAGGUUAAGAACUUGCCCUCCGACCAACAGCUAGUAAGUGACAGAACUGGGAUUUAAACCCAGGCAGCCUGGCUCCAGAGCCCACUCAAUAAAUCCACACUGUCUGCCUCUCUCAGUGCCGGCUACAUACAGUGUAGCUCUUGAGGUUGUCAUUGUUAUCAUGACUAUUGUUUUCUUAUUCUACCUCUAGAGAUCAAACCCAAGGUCGAGUAAUCAAGUCAUUGUUCUACCUUGUGUUGUGUUGGGAAGAGUGAUUUUGGGAAUUGGGGCUCUUUAGUUCAAGUCCUAACUCUGCCCUGCCUAGCUAGACAGAUUGUUUUUCCUUUCUGGCUCUGAUUUCCUCAGUUAUAAAAGAGGUGUCAGAUUCGAUGAUCCCUAAGGAAGUUUCUGUGUCUGACAUUUCUCUCAUAUGGUUUUCCUACCAGCGUGCAAGAUGUCCUCCUGGUAGGACCUGGUCAGUGGGUGUCUCUGGCUUGACCGUCUCCACCCUUUUAGACGGCCAGCUUCUGAUUAAGCAGGACUGACGUUAAUUUAUGUACUUACGAAAUCCUCCUCACUGGGAACAAGAGGAAAUUAAAUUGCUCACUGAGUCGGUAACAGAUGGUUGGCUCCAUCUUCUUUCUGACUGGGACCCCCCCAGAGAGAGUAAUUGAGGGCAUCCUGUCACACGAAAGAGACCGAGGGGGCGAGGGAGACUGAGGGAUGGUUGGGAGGCCUCUCUCCAGCACAUCACUCAUUCUGAUGUCUCCCCAUUUCUCAGUGAAGGAGAAAAUCAAAUAACACCCGGAAGGAAGUAAGCGGUUUGUAAAUAGGGCACACUGGGGUGCCUCCAGCUUUUUCAUUCUGCUUUAUUUAUUGUGUGCGUGUGUGUGCAUGUAUGUGUGUGCGUGAAUGUGCAUGCAUGUGCACGUAUGUGUGCAUGAAUGCACAUGUGAACCCUCAAACCCAAGUUGGAGGUUUCCCAAGCAUCCAACUCAGGAAACUCAACUUGGUCAGUUUCAAGGGAACCCCUGAAUGGACCUGGAGGCUGACUGAGCCCUGCUCAUUCAUGCACAUGCUGGCCCCGCUCCAAAACCUCCAGAAUGCUAGUUUUAACCAGAUGACACAAGAUUUCUUAUUAUUGUUCAGCUGAGGGAGAGAGCAGUGAGAGAUUGAAAUCUACAUCAACUCUGCAAACACACAUCCACACGUAAAACUCCACUGUGCCUCCUGAAACCUUCUUAUUCUUUCGCUAGGUAUCCCUUCAGGCCUCUUAGCCAAAUGCCCAGUAGAAUGUUAGGACCUCCCUUUGAUGUCAAAUUCCAAAAAGACUUUUUUUGAGGAGAUGUCAAAAAAGUGUAAUUUGGAACAUCAAAAACCAAUAAGCUCAGAAAAACCUGAGUUUAAAUCCUUGCUCUGUCACUGACAAGCUGUGUGUCCUUGGGCAAGUCACUUAUCCUCUCUGACCUCUCUUUUGAAUUUUAAAAUGGGAAUAUGGGCCUGGCAUUGUGACUCCCUUCUGAUAUCACAGCACUUUGGGAGGCUGAGGCAGGAGGAUCACUUUAGCCCAGGAGGUUGAGGCUGCAGUAAGCUGUGUUCAUGCCAUUGCACUCCAGCCUGGGCAAGAGAGUGAGACUCUGUCUCAGAAAUAAAUAAAAUAAGAUAAAAAGGGAAUAUAGACAUCUUAUUUUGAGGAUUCUAGGAGACAGUAUAUGUAAGGCAGCCAACAGAAAGCUUAGAAAACUGUAGAUGUUUAAUAAAUGUUUUUUCUAAGAACCUCAGAAGCCAAUUUUGAAGAAAUCUUUGAAGUCACUUCUAGAUUUACCAAUCACUGGAUUACAGACUGACAAGGCAGAAUGUAGGUGCAUCCAGCCCCUGCCACUUCCUGUUCCUCCUUAGUGACAAACGGUGGACCAGCUCUCCCAUCACCUACACUCCUCAACACAUACUCACACAUGCUUUUCCCUCAUACCAUGGGUCCAGCAGAUAAUUUGUGCUUCUUCCAGUCCACAACUUGGUUUGAGUUGGACAAUGCCAGCCUCUCACAGUACAGGAGGCUUCCAAUAAUAACAUCUCCUAAAUAGUUAAUGUAACAAAAGUGUUAAAGCUUUAAACAUAGGAAAAAAUAUCACCUAUAAUUACACUGCCCUAAUAUCAAAUCUUUAUUCCAUUAGCAAACAAACUUUUACAUCAUCGCCAAGGCUUUUUGUUCACUUAAGAUUUGGUAGUCUUUGGACUAGACCCUGGAAUAGACAAAGAGCAUUAGUGGAAAAACUGGCAAAAUCCAAAUAAAGUCUGGAUUUUAGUUAAUA